ensembl:lncRNA
UCUUAUUGUAUUGCAUUAAAUUCACACUGUUUUUGUAUGUUUUCCAUCUUUGAUUCUCAGAUCAUGUGGAAGUUUUGGAAAGACUUGAAAAUGCAACAGAAACUGUCACACAUCGCUCAUUAAACACUCAAUUAGAUCUGUGCUGCAACACAACACCUGAAAACUGUUGCCAUGGAUACAGGGCCACCAAGUGUCUGUCAGGUGUCACGGACAGCAACCAGGUGUGACCUCUCGGCAAGCAUCUGACUAUGGAGAGUUCCACACGAGCAGCCUCAGCCAGAGCAAACAACAUCUGACAGGAACAGGCUGAGGAAGUAGGCCAGAGGUGAUGACGUCUGUGAAGAUAAACUAUGCUCUUCAGGAUGGAUAUGGUUAUGGUUCUUUUUAAUGGUUAAUGGUUCUUCUUUUAUACUACUUUUUAUUGCCAGAGA